rnacentral:rRNA from 1 species
UACGAAGGGGGCUAGCGUUGCUCGGAAUCACUGGGCGUAAAGGGUGCGUAGGCGGGUCUUUAAGUCAGGGGUGAAAUCCUGGAGCUCAACUCCAGAACUGCCUUUGAUACUGAAGAUCUUGAGUUCGGGAGAGGUGAGUGGAACUGCGAGUGUAGAGGUGAAAUUCGUAGAUAUUCGCAAGAACACCAGUGGCGAAGGCGGCAUCCUGGACCGGCAUUGACGCUGAGGCGCGAAAGCCAGGGGAGCAAACGGG